rnacentral:rRNA from 1 species
GGUUAAGCGACUAAGCGUACACGGUGGAUGCCCUGGCAGUCAGAGGCGAUGAAGGACGUGCUAAUCUGCGAUAAGCGUCGGUAAGGUGAUAUGAACCGUUAUAACCGGCGAUUUCCGAAUGGGGAAACCCAGUGUGUUUCGACACACUAUCAUUAACUGAAUCCAUAGGUUAAUGAGGCGAACCGGGGGAACUGAAACAUCUAAGUACCCCGAGGAAAAGAAAUCAACCGAGAUUCCCCCAGUAGCGGCGAGCGAACGGGGAGGAGCCCAGAGCCUGAAUCAGUGUGUGUGUUAGUGGAAGCGUCUGGAAAGGCGCGCGAUACAGGGUGACAGCCCCGUACACAAAAAUGCACAUGCUGUGAGCUCGAUGAGUAGGGCGGGACACGUGGUAUCCUGUCUGAAUAUGGGGGGACCAUCCUCCAAGGCUAAAUACUCCUGACUGACCGAUAGUGAACCAGUACCGUGAGGGAAAGGCGAAAAGAACCCCGGCGAGGGGAGUGAAAAAGAACCUGAAACCGUGUACGUACAAGCAGUGGGAGCACGCUUAGGCGUGUGACUGCGUACCUUUUGUAUAAUGGGUCAGCGACUUAUAUUCUGUAGCAAGGUUAACCGAAUAGGGGAGCCGAAGGGAAACCGAGUCUUAACUGGGCGUUAAGUUGCAGGGUAUAGACCCGAAACCCGGUGAUCUAGCCAUGGGCAGGUUGAAGGUUGGGUAACACUAACUGGAGGACCGAACCGACUAAUGUUGAAAAAUUAGCGGAUGACUUGUGGCUGGGGGUGAAAGGCCAAUCAAACCGGGAGAUAGCUGGUUCUCCCCGAAAGCUAUUUAGGUAGCGCCUCGUGAAUUCAUCUCCGGGGGUAGAGCACUGUUUCGGCAAGGGGGUCAUCCCGACUUACCAACCCGAUGCAAACUGCGAAUACCGGAGAAUGUUAUCACGGGAGACACACGGCGGGUGCUAACGUCCGUCGUGAAGAGGGAAACAACCCAGACCGCCAGCUAAGGUCCCAAAGUCAUGGUUAAGUGGGAAACGAUGUGGGAAGGCCCAGACAGCCAGGAUGUUGGCUUAGAAGCAGCCAUCAUUUAAAGAAAGCGUAAUAGCUCACUGGUCGAGUCGGCCUGCGCGGAAGAUGUAACGGGGCUAAACCAUGCACCGAAGCUGCGGCAGCGACGCUUAUGCGUUGUUGGGUAGGGGAGCGUUCUGUAAGCCUGUGAAGGUGUACUGUGAGG